CGCCCGGGACCCCGCGCCCCGCCUUGGCUACGUCGGUCCUGGCUGGGCUCCCGGGACGCCAGCGACCCGAAUCGGAGCCGUCCCUGCUCCGGGCCCGCUGGGGCCUCAUGGGGACCUCACCACGCUCUGUGCCCUAAAACAGCACGCGGACCAGGAGGACUUGGCGCCUGCUCACCCGUUUCCACGAGUUCCUCCUUUUGCUGACCCCCACCUGUGCUGCUGCGCACCCCAUCCUGCGGUACAUGUGGCCACCCAGCCAAGGUUGGACAGUGGGGUGUACCUGGAAAAGAUAGAUCCACCUCCAAGUUCUGCCUUUGAACAAAGUAGUUUUCUUUUUUUUAAAGGAUAGCUCGGGUCGGGGAUAUAGCUCAGCAGCACAGCGCCUGCCCGGAAAAGCUGGACCAGAACACCAUCCUGUACUCCAUGAUGGAAACUACGUGUUAAUGAAGGAGCCACCCUUGUCACUCUGGAUAAUAUAAUCCUUGUUAUGUAAUAGAGAAACAGCUUUCUCAUUUAAGCACUGUA